rnacentral:rRNA from 1 species
AAACUUAAAGGUAUUGACGGAAGGGCACCACAAGGAGUGGAGCUUGCGGCUUAAUUUGACUCAACGCGGGGCAUCUUACCAGGCUCGGACAUUGCGGGGAUUGACAGAUCAAGAGCUCUUUCAUGAUUCGGUGGGUGGUGGUGCAUGGCCGUUCUUAGUACGUGGUGCAAACUGUCAGGUUAAAUCCGCUAACGUACAUGACUCUAGCCUAUUAACUAGAGCCGGACGAUGAUAAUAAGUCGCCGAAGCAUAGUACUUCUUAGAGGGAUUCCUUUGGCGUGAGAGAAGCGGAUGAAAUAGAGCAAUAACAGGUCUGUGAUGCCCUUAGAUGGUCCGGGCCGCACGCGCGCUACACUGGCGUGGAAAGAAGGGGCAGGCUUAGGCUGGCCGGGCGCGUGAGUAGCCUAGUAACUAGGAAAACUUAGAAACCUUGUCGUGAUCGGGCUCAGGCCUUGGAAUUGUGGCAUGCUAACGAGGAAUUCCAAGUAAGUGCGAGUCAUCAGCUUGCGUUGAUCAAGUCCCUGCCCUUUGUACACACCGCCCGUCGCUACCACUGAGCUAGCGGUUUAGCAAGGAGGUCUAGACGAGUCCUGGUCGCCGUCACCCGUGGCCGGCAAGGGGGUGGGUCCCACAAGACUCAUCCCCGGCCUCGGAGGCUUCAGGUGGGCUUGAAAGGCCUACGAACUCGACUGUUUCUAGGAGGUAAA